rnacentral:rRNA from 1 species
AGCAGCCGCGGUAAAUUCCAGCUCCAAUAGCGUAUAUUAAAGUUGUUGCAGUUAAAAAGCUCGUAGUUGAAUUUCGGGGUCAGCAGGUUGGUCGUGCCACUGGUAUGCACUGGUCUCGCUGAUUCCUCCCUCUUGUAGAACCGUAAUGCCAUUAAGUUGGUGUUGCGGGGAAACAGGACUGUUACUUUGAAAAAAUUAGAGUGUUUAAAGCAAGCUAACGCUUGAAUACAUUAGCAUGGAAUAAUGAAAUAGGACGAUCGAUCCUAUUUUGUUGGUUUCUAGGGUUGACGUAAUGAUUAAUAGGGAUAGUUGGGGGCAUUAGUAUUCAAUUGUCAGAGGUGAAAUUCUUGGAUUUAUUGAAGACUGACUACUGCGAAAGCAUUUGCCAAGGAUGUUUUCA